rnacentral:rRNA from 1 species
AGUGAACGCUGGCGGUAGGCCUAACACAUGCAAGUCGAACGGCAGCACAGUAAGAGCUUGCUCUUACGGGUGGCGAGUGGCGGACGGGUGAGGAAUACAUCGGAAUCUACUUUUUCGUGGGGGAUAACGUAGGGAAACUUACGCUAAUACCGCAUACGACCUACGGGUGAAAGCAGGGGAUCUUCGGACCUUGCGCGAUUGAAUGAGCCGAUGUCGGAUUAGCUAGUUGGCGGGGUAAAGGCACACCAAGGCGACGAUCCGUAGCUGGUCUGAGAGGAUGAUCAGCCACACUGGAACUGAGACACGGUCCAGACUCCUACGGGGGGCAGCAGUGGGGAAUAUUGGACAAUGGGCGCAAGCCUGAUCCAGCCAUACCGCGUGGGUGAAGAAGGCCUUCGGGUUGUAAAGCCCUUUUGUUGGGAAAGAAAAGCAGCAGGUUAAUACCCCGCUGUUCUGACGGUACCCAAAGAAUAAGCACCGGCUAACUUCGUG